GAGAGAGAGAGAGAGAAGUGAAGAUAACGCAGAGAAUAAAAAGAGAUUGUGUUCUUAUUUAUCUGAUAAAGUAAUAAACUCCAUUCUCCCCUUCUCUUUAUAUUUCUCUCUCUAGCAUAAAUAAAAAUACAGUCUCUCUGUCUCACUACUAAUAAAAGUCCGUUUUUUUUUUUUUUUCUAGUUUGGAGAUGAUCUAAGCUUCUCUAUUGGAUUUGCAAUAACACCCACUUUUUUUAUUAGUUGUGUAACUAUGAUUUGUUUUAAGCUUAUUUGUUGGGUGUGUGUUUUGAUAGUGUCAGUCUCUUGGACUCUUUGAAUUUUGUCCAUGGUGUCUGUCGAAUGAUUGAAUCUAUGGGGAUUCUUGAGCAGAUGAAAUAAUAGGAUAUGGGUAUGAUUUAAUAUUUGUGUUUUGCAUUUUCUUUCAAUCUAAUUUGAUUUGUCGGUUUUUCAUGUUUGGUGAUUUGGUUAAUUGGGUUCUAAUUUGUUUCGUGCUUUUAUUAGUGAGUAGUUUUGAUUUUGAGUUCGAUAAAUUGCUGUGAUUAUUGCAUGAUCUGGGGAUUAAAACAAAAACACACUUUCUUUAUCUGGGGAUUUUAGUUUAAUUUGAUUUAUGGGUUUUUCUUAUAAUUAAGUUUUAAUUUGUUUCAUGCUUUUAUUAAUAAGUAGUUUUGAUUUUGGUUUGAUGAAUUGCUGGGAUUAUUUCCUGAUCCGGGGGAUUAAAAGAAAAGGACACCUGUUUGAUCUUGGGGAGUAAAAUAAAAAGACACCUGUUUGAAUGGGAGGUAGUCAAGCACCAUCACAAACCCCAGAUCUUUUUAGUAGAGAAGGUAAUUGUCCAGUUUUAGAAUCUGGGACCUGCGUGAAAUAACAUAUAGUUCUGGUAUUGAUCUGGGACGCUGGUGAACUUGAGAGCAUUUUUUGGGCCUUUUAGGGUUUUGUUUCGUCAUGAACUCACGGGGCCCAUUGGGAGGGCAUCCUUUUCCUGUUUAAAAACGAGAUACUCAAGAUGAGCAGAUUGCCGUGAUCUGGAGAGAAACAAUGAGAGCGACCUUUGUAGAUGAGAUGAUUGGGCGAAAAGCCUUUUUAGGGCUUCUGCAGCCGCUUUUCACCUUCAACAACAAAUGAGUAUUGCAAACUUUCCUGUUUUUAUUUUUACUGUUCAAUCUUCCAGUUCCAAAUUCUCAUACCCUAACUUGCACUGCUUCUGCAUCUAGCAUUAGAUUUAAGUGGUUUUUUUUUUGCUAUAAAAAAACGGUGUGUUUGGUGGUAAUACCAAUCACAACAGUUUUAGAUGACUUUAUAUCAUUCAGUCAAGAUGGUUGGCUUGAACCCUAGCUCAUCCAUGGUGAAAUUUGGCUGGUUAUUAGGGUGGAUUGUGUGGAAGAAACAGCAUAUUUAGUUAAAAUAUAAUGGUCAACCAAGGUUGCGCUUCUGGCUUUCAUAGUCAUAACAUCUUGAUCAAUGGCCAUUGUAAGAGUAGAAGGAUCCAUGAAGCAAUAACUCUCUUUGCUGAAAUGUGCGACCAAAUAGACUCUUGAUAUUUCAUUCUUACAGUGCCCAUUGAUUAAGAUGUUAUAACAUUGUUCUCAAAGGAUUUCUUCUCAAAAACUGCACAUCAUGUGUUGUACAAGAUCUCAACGAAAUGGUUGAUAGCAGAUCUCUAUGUAUUCAUCCACAGUAAGCAUGCUAAUGUAUCUGGUAUCAGAUGGAAAAAUUAUACUGUGUUUCUGUGAGGAGGUUCUCAAAAUGGGAAUUUCAAUAGAAAUAUCAUUUUCAGCCCAGCAGUGUUGUGGUGGCCUUUCCUCAAAACAGUUAGGCUGCUAUAACUCAUGUAAGUUAUUGUUACCCAAUUUUCCACCUUAAGAACAGUACAAUCUACUAUUUCCUCUUCAUAUGGUGACAUGUCUUGGCUCUAGGUCAUGCUGUAGGUUCUACUGUACAUAUAGUAAAAAGUGAUCAGUUAUUAGAUUAUGUAAUAAAAGUGGUAAAGGUUUUGUUGUUGUUGGUUGUUUCUGAUAAAUUUUCAUGUUUAAGUACUCUUAAGGGUUUAUUUUGGGGACUACUUUUGUCGAACUUGAAAGAAAACAACCUCUGCCAAUUCUCUACACUUCUCCUUCGAUCUUGAUCUCUUGGUCUAUAACUUGUUUAAGGUACGAAGAUUGAUGAUUUAAUGAUGACAUCUGAUUCUGUUGAUUGGGGGUUCCUUUUCUAUUUUAUUUUAGCCUCUUGAAUUCUUUUUGAAGUUUGCUGAUUGAGACCAUGUUGCUUUACAGAAUACAGAUUCCCACUUCUGUAUCUCAAUUACUGUGUCCUGGUGAGAUACUUCUCAUGUGUGAAGAGAUUAAGUCAAGUUCAAGAAGAACCCCUUUCCCCUUGUGAUUGUGUGGUCGUCAUGUAAAUUCUCUCAAGAAUUCUUGUCAGUAAUUUCAUCUUGUCAUGUGAAUUCGCUUCUCAAUAAUUCUUCCCUAACUUAUUUAAUCUCUGAUACUGUUCUAGUGCUCUUGAUACAAAGAAUUGUUUGGGCUGUAUUCAGCACCUGUGGUAAUCCUAUUACUUGGUAAGGAUUAAACGAAAACUGCAAAAGGAGAGAUUUUUGUGUUGUCAUGGAUCCAAAACUGACUAUAGGAGGUUAACAAGUCAAGAUUCAAGAAGGUUUUCUUAUCUGUUAAACCUCAUGCUGUUCCUUGAUUGCUGUCAAAUUCGAUGCCUUUUUAUGCACAUGAAUCGGUGGAAUAUUAGAGAGACAUUUAUAAUCAAUUGUGAGCUUUGUUUGGCAGGUCCCGAGAGCUGAUAUCAACAGCAUUAGAUCUAUGAUGCAAAUUCUAGUGAUCAAGACUGGAGCAUCCAGAGCAGAAUUAAGUAGAAGGAGUUGACUGAAUCUAACAACGUGUAUAGGGGUGAUAAGGCUAAGGAUUUUGCUGAAUCAAAUUCGUACUCUGUGUAGGCUAAAGUUCCAGCCAUUUAUGUUGGAAAGAUAUCCAAUAAUUAAUGUCAAUGUUAUUGGAUUAUCAUUCAAGUGGUAGUAAUAACUGAUGUUUUUCUUAUCUGUUAGUUAUUAGCAGGAGUCUAAUUAUUUAGGGUUAUUUGUAAAACUAUAUAUAGAAGAUUAGUAGUUCCAGUAGAAAAUGUUGUAAUGAAAACCUAUUUGUUAUUUAGUGUGAUUCCAAUAUUGGAGUGAUUUUGUUGA